GAAAUCAUACUUCACAGGAUCAUUUCUGUAGUGUGUUUUCACCAUCUCGCUUUCUCUGAAAGCCACAACCAACCGUGAUGACGAGAUGUAACGUCGCCUCCGGAGCGGGAAGCUCGGCGUGUGGCCACUGGGCUGCGCGUCGUUGAUGACUGCGGAGAGCGCCUUCGGGUGUUCUCUUUGGAGGCGUCGUUUGCCGAACGGU
rfam:Steinernema glaseri strain NC unplaced genomic scaffold GLAS_4439, whole genome shotgun sequence.